rnacentral:rRNA from 1 species
UACGGGGGGAGCAAGCGUUGUUCGGAUUUACUGGGCGUAAAGGGCGCGUAGGCGGCCAGCACAAGUCAGUUGUGAAAUCUCCGAGCUUAACUCGGAAAGGUCAACUGAUACUGUGCGGCUAGAGUGCGGAAGGGGCAACUGGAAUUCUUGGUGUAGCGGUGAAAUGCGUAGAUAUCAAGAGGAACCCCUGCGGCGAAGGCGGGUUGCUGGGCCGACACUGACGCUGAGGCGCGAAAGCCAGGGGAGCGAACGGG